rnacentral:rRNA from 1 species
CAGCUAGAGUUUGAUCCUGGCUCAGGACGAACGCUGGCGGCGCGCCUAACACAUGCAAGUCGAACGGGGUUGAGAGGAGCUUGCUUUUCUUGACUUAGUGGCGAACGGGUGAGUAACGCGUGAGGAACCUGCCUCAAAGAGGGGGACAACAGUUGGAAACGACUGCUAAUACCGCAUAAGCCCACGGUCCCGCAUGGGAGAGAGGGAAAAGGAGCAAUCCGCUUUGAGAUGGCCUCGCGUCCGAUUAGCUAGUUGGUGAGGUAACGGCCCACCAAGGCGACGAUCGGUAGCCGGACUGAGAGGUUGAACGGCCACAUUGGGACUGAGACACGGCCCAGACUCCUACGGGAGGCAGCAGUGGGGAAUAUUGCACAAUGGGGGAAACCCUGAUGCAGCGACGCCGCGUGGAGGAAGAAGGUCUUCGGAUUGUAAACUCCUGUUGUUGGGGAAAAAGAGGAUGGUACCCAACAAGGAAGUGACGGCUAACUACGUGCC